AAGCCAUGGAGGGGAAUCCUAUAAACCCAAAUGUCAAGGUGAAUGCAACCAGCGCCCCAAACAAGCAGGACUAGUUACACCAGUGACGGUAACUCCAAUGGCAACAUUUUGGUAAUUGAGGAUUUUCGAAAAUGGAGGGCACAGAUGCUCGAAUCUAAGGUCAUUAAACCUUUAAAAAUAAUUGGACGAAGUGUUUUUGAUUCAGAAUUUUGCUCACAGUGUAAUUUCCCUUCAUUUAACAUUUGUAACACCAAUUACCCUAUUUAGACACACAAAAGGAUCAAUGGAAUCCUCAAAUGUAUGAGACACUAAAACGGCGUGAUUAGCUAAUAAUUGUAUUUAAUAUAGACCCUUCCAGUGCAACACUUUUCCACUAGAGGUCAGUGCAAGGUCCUUGUAAAUCUUUGUAAUGAGUGAUUUUCAAGGGGGUACACCAAUGGGGAUAAAACUUAGGGACACAUAUUAUAUUUGUAAAAAUAAGAGUAAUUGUAAUAGCCUGUUUUGUUUUUAUUGAUAAGUACAAUAUACAGUUGAUGUCAGAAGUUUACAUAAACCUCAGCCAAAUACAUUUAAAAUCUGUUUUUCAUAAUUCCUGACGUUUUUCACAAUUCCCCUGUCUUAGGCCAGUUAGGAUCACCACUUUAUUUUAAGAAUGUGAAAUGUCAGGAUAAUAGUAGAGAGAAUGAUUUAUUUCAGCUUUUAUUUCUUUCAUCACCUUCCCAUGGUUCAGAAGUAAACAUACACUCAAUUUGUGUUUGGUAGCAUUGCCUUUAAAUUGUUUAACUUGGGUCAAACAUUUCAGGUAGCCUUCCACAAGCUUCCCACAAUAAGUUGGGUAAAUUCUGGCCCAUUCCUCCUGACAGAGCUGGUGUAACUGAGUCAGGUUUGUAGGUCUCCUUGCUCGCACAUGCUUUUUCAGUUCUGCUCAUAAAUCUUCUAUGGGAUUGAGGUCAGGGCUUUGUGAUGGCCACUCCAAUAGCUUGACUUUGUUGUCUUUAAGCCAUUUUGCCACAACUUUGGAAGUAUGCUUGGGGUCAUUGUUCAUUUGGAAGAACUAUUUGCGACCAAGCUUUAACUUCCUGACUGAUGUCUUGAGCUUCAAUAUAUCCACAUAAUUUCCAUCCUCAUGAUGCCAUCUACUUUGUGAAGUGCACCAGUCCC
rnacentral:lncRNA from 13 species